rnacentral:tRNA from 2 species
GCAGGUGUAACUCAAUGGCAGAGUGUCCGCUUCCCAAGCCGAAUACGCGGGUUCGAUUCCCGUCACCUGCUCCA